rnacentral:rRNA from 1 species
GGGUUGUGAGGUUAAGCGACUAAGCGUACACGGUGGAUGCCCUGGCAGUCAGAGGCGAUGAAGGACGUGCUAAUCUGCGAUAAGCGUCGGUAAGGUGAUAUGAACCGUUAUAACCGGCGAUUUCCGAAUGGGGAAACCCAGUGUGAUUCGUCACACUAUCAUUAACUGAAUCCAUAGGUUAAUGAGGCGAACCGGGGGAACUGAAACAUCUAAGUACCCCGAGGAAAAGAAAUCAACCGAGAUUCCCCCAGUAGCGGCGAGCGAACGGGGAGCAGCCCAGAGCCUGAAUCAGUGUGUGUGUUAGUGGAAGCGUCUGGAAAGGCGCGCGAUACAGGGUGACAGCCCCGUACACAAAAAUGCACAUGCUGUGAGCUCGAUGAGUAGGGCGGGACACGUGGUAUCCUGUCUGAAUAUGGGGGGACCAUCCUCCAAGGCUAAAUACUCCUGACUGACCGAUAGUGAACCAGUACCGUGAGGGAAAGGCGAAAAGAACCCCGGCGAGGGGAGUGAAAAAGAACCUGAAACCGUGUACGUACAAGCAGUGGGAGCACGCUUAGGCGUGUGACUGCGUACCUUUUGUAUAAUGGGUCAGCGACUUAUAUUCUGUAGCAAGGUUAACCGAAUAGGGGAGCCGAAGGGAAACCGAGUCUUAACUGGGCGUUAAGUUGCAGGGUAUAGACCCGAAACCCGGUGAUCUAGCCAUGGGCAGGUUGAAGGUUGGGUAACACUAACUGGAGGACCGAACCGACUAAUGUUGAAAAAUUAGCGGAUGACUUGUGGCUGGGGGUGAAAGGCCAAUCAAACCGGGAGAUAGCUGGUUCUCCCCGAAAGCUAUUUAGGUAGCGCCUCGUGAAUUCAUCUCCGGGGGUAGAGCACUGUUUCGGCAAGGGGGUCAUCCCGACUUACCAACCCGAUGCAAACUGCGAAUACCGGAGAAUGUUAUCACGGGAGACACACGGCGGGUGCUAACGUCCGUCGUGAAGAGGGAAACAACCCAGACCGCCAGCUAAGGUCCCAAAGUCAUGGUUAAGUGGGAAACGAUGUGGGAAGGCCCAGACAGCCAGGAUGUUGGCUUAGAAGCAGCCAUCAUUUAAAGAAAGCGUAAUAGCUCACUGGUCGAGUCGGCCUGCGCGGAAGAUGUAACGGGGCUAAACCAUGCACCGAAGCUGCGGCAGCGACGCUUAUGCGUUGUUGGGUAGGGGAGCGUUCUGUAAGCCUGUGAAGGUGUACUGUGAGGUAUGCUGGAGGUAUCAGAAGUGCGAAUGCUGACAUAAGUAACGAUAAAGCGGGUGAAAAGCCCGCUCGCCGGAAGACCAAGGGUUCCUGUCCAACGUUAAUCGGGGCAGGGUGAGUCGACCCCUAAGGCGAGGCCGAAAGGCGUAGUCGAUGGGAAACAGGUUAAUAUUCCUGUACUUGGUGUUACUGCGAAGGGGGGACGGAGAAGGCUAUGUUGGCCGGGCGACGGUUGUCCCGGUUUAAGCGUGUAGGCUGGUUUUCCAGGCAAAUCCGGAAAAUCAAGGCCGAGGCGUGAUGACGAGGCACUACGGUGCUGAAGCAACAAAUGCCCUGCUUCCAGGAAAAGCCUCUAAGCAUCAGGUAACAUCAAAUCGUACCCCAAACCGACACAGGUGGUCAGGUAGAGAAUACCAAGGCGCUUGAGAGAACUCGGGUGAAGGAACUAGGCAAAAUGGUGCCGUAACUUCGGGAGAAGGCACGCUGAUACGUAGGUGAAGCGACUUGCUCGUGGAGCUGAAAUCAGUCGAAGAUACCAGCUGGCUGCAACUGUUUAUUAAAAACACAGCACUGUGCAAACACGAAAGUGGACGUAUACGGUGUGACGCCUGCCCGGUGCCGGAAGGUUAAUUGAUGGGGUUAGCGCAAGCGAAGCUCUUGAUCGAAGCCCCGGUAAACGGCGGCCGUAACUAUAACGGUCCUAAGGUAGCGAAAUUCCUUGUCGGGUAAGUUCCGACCUGCACGAAUGGCGUAAUGAUGGCCAGGCUGUCUCCACCCGAGACUCAGUGAAAUUGAACUCGCUGUGAAGAUGCAGUGUACCCGCGGCAAGACGGAAAGACCCCGUGAACCUUUACUAUAGCUUGACACUGAACAUUGAGCCUUGAUGUGUAGGAUAGGUGGGAGGCUUUGAAGUGUGGACGCCAGUCUGCAUGGAGCCGACCUUGAAAUACCACCCUUUAAUGUUUGAUGUUCUAACGUGGACCCGUGAUCCGGGUUGCGGACAGUGUCUGGUGGGUAGUUUGACUGGGGCGGUCUCCUCCUAAAGAGUAACGGAGGAGCACGAAGGUUGGCUAAUCCUGGUCGGACAUCAGGAGGUUAGUGCAAUGGCAUAAGCCAGCUUGACUGCGAGCGUGACGGCGCGAGCAGGUGCGAAAGCAGGUCAUAGUGAUCCGGUGGUUCUGAAUGGAAGGGCCAUCGCUCAACGGAUAAAAGGUACUCCGGGGAUAACAGGCUGAUACCGCCCAAGAGUUCAUAUCGACGGCGGUGUUUGGCACCUCGAUGUCGGCUCAUCACAUCCUGGGGCUGAAGUAGGUCCCAAGGGUAUGGCUGUUCGCCAUUUAAAGUGGUACGCGAGCUGGGUUUAGAACGUCGUGAGACAGUUCGGUCCCUAUCUGCCGUGGGCGCUGGAGAACUGAGGGGGGCUGCUCCUAGUACGAGAGGACCGGAGUGGACGCAUCACUGGUGUUCGGGUUGUCAUGCCAAUGGCACUGCCCGGUAGCUAAAUGCGGAAGAGAUAAGUGCUGAAAGCAUCUAAGCACG